rnacentral:rRNA from 1 species
AUUGAACGCUGGCGGCAGGCUUAACACAUGCAAGUCGAGCGGGGUGAUGGUGCUUGCACUAUCACUUAGCGGCGGACGGGUGAGUAAUGCUUAGGAAUCUGCCUAUUAGUGGGGGACAACAUCUCGAAAGGGAUGCUAAUACCGCAUACGUCCUACGGGAGAAAGCAGGGGAUCACUUGUGACCUUGCGCUAAUAGAUGAGCCUAAGUCGGAUUGGCUAGUUGGUGGGGUAAAGGCCUACCAAUGCGACGAUCUGUAGCGGGUCUGAGAGGAUGAGACGGCAAACUAGGACUGGGCAAAUGCCCAGAAUACUACGGGAGGGAGCAGUGGGGAAUAUUUGACAAUGGGGGGAAGUCUGAUCCAGCCAUGCCGCGUGUGUGAAGAAGGGCUUAUGGUUUUAAAGCACUUUAAGCGAGGAGGAGGCUCUUUUGGUUAAUACCCAAGAUGAGUGGACGUUACUCGCAGAAUAAGCACCGGCUAACACUGUGCCAGCCGCCGCGGUAA